rnacentral:rRNA from 1 species
UACGAAGGGGGCUAGCGUUGCUCGGAAUCACUGGGCGUAAAGGGUGCGUAGGCGGGGCUUUAAGUCCGGGGUGAAAUCCUGGAGCUCAACUCCAGAACUGCCUUUGAUACUGAGGAUCUUGAGUUCGGGAGAGGUGAGUGGAACUGCGAGUGUAGAGGUGAAAUUCGUAGAUAUUCGCAAGAACACCAGUGGCGAAGGCGGCUCACUGGCCCGAUACUGACGCUGAGGCACGAAAGCGUGGGGAGCAAACAGG